AAUUUUAUCCCAUAAAC
rnacentral:tRNA from 1 species